UACAUACGAACGGGUGAGUUCC
rnacentral:miRNA from 1 species